CCUGAUAUGGAGCAGAUUACCAUGUUCUCUGCACAAGAAUGACAUGCAAACUUGUGAAGUGUUCCAUAUUUUU
ensembl:snRNA U6 U6 spliceosomal RNA